rnacentral:rRNA from 1 species
GAUGAACGCUGGCGGCGUGCCUAAUACAUGCAAGUCGAGCGAACAGACGAGGAUCUUGCUCCUCUGACGUUAGCGGCGGACGGGUAAGUAACACGUGGAUAACCUACCUAUAAGACUGGGAUAACUUCGGGAAACCGGAGAUAACACCGGAUAAUAUAUUGAACCGCAUGGUUCAAUAGUGAAAGACGGUUUUGCUGUCACUUAUAGAUGGAUCCGCGCCGCAUUAGCUAGUUGGUAAGGUAACGGCUUACCAAGGCGACGAUGCGUAGCCGACCUGAGAGGGUGAUCGGCCACACUGGAACUGAGACACGGUCCAGACUCCUACGGGAGGCAGCAGUAGGGAAUCUUGCGCAAUGGGCGAAAGCCUGACGGAGCAACGCCGCGUGAGUGAUGAAGGUCUUCGGAUCGUAAAACUCUGUUAUUAGGGAAGAACAAAUGUGUAAGUAACUAUGCACGUCUUGACGGUACCUAAUCAGAAAGCCACGGCUAACUACGUG